rnacentral:lncRNA from 1 species
GACAAAUUAAACAUCCCAUAUUUGAGAGUAUCACCAUAGAUGGGAGAAUGGGGAAGGGAAGACUACAGCAACACAUAUACAACAUUUGCACUGAAAGAAGGAGACGACAAAAAUGUGAAAUGCUUUAUAGCCGAGGCUAUUCCAGCCAGCAAAAUGGAAUCGGCAAAAGUGGGAUCUAAGGGAAAAUGGGAAGUGUAAACCUGGAAGACAUCUUAAACAUUGUCCAGAGGAGGCGGAUUGAAGCUGAAAUUCAAUCAAGCACCACCUGCAAAUCAGACGGUAUAAGACAACAAACAUGGAUGAAAGAAGAAUUGGAAAAUGUUUGGAAAACAAACCUUGGAGCAAAUGGUGACCACGACGGGAGUGUUGCAGUUGGGCGAAAUCGAGGAGAUGAUGAAAAUGGCAAUUAGGAAACCUAAGCUAAUGGAAAGUGAUGAGUUGGGAGAAAUACAAGGAAAAUGUCCGUAAUAGGCCCUUUUGUUUACUACUUUCUUUAUUAAUUCUCU